UAGAGUUUGAUCCUGGCUCAGGACGAACGCUGGCGGCGCGCUUAACACAUGCAAGUCGAGCGAGAACCAGGGCUUCGGCUCUGGGGACAGCGGCGAACGGGUGAGUAACACGUGGGUAAUCCACCCUCGGCACCGGAAUAGCCCGGGGAAACCCGGAUUAAUGCCGGAUGGCCCGUCGACCCUUCGGGGCUGACGGAAAAGGUAGCUUCGGCCUCCGGCCGGGGACGAGCCCGCGACGGAUUAGCUUGUUGGUGGGGUAACGGCCUACCAAGGCUCCGAUCCGUAGCUGGUCUGAGAGGACGAUCAGCCACACUGGGACUGAGACACGGCCCAGACUCCUACGGGAGGCAGCAGUGGGGAAUCUUGCGCAAUGGGCGAAAGCCUGACGCAGCGACGCCGCGUGAGGGAAGAAGGCCUUCGGGUUGUAAACCUCUUUCAAGAGGGACGAAGCCACUCGGGUUAAUAGCCCAGAGGGUGACGGUACCUCCAGAAGAAGCCCCGGCUAACUACGUGCCAGCAGCCGCGGUAAUACGUAGGGGGCAAGCGUUGUCCGGAUUUAUUGGGCGUAAAGAGCGUGUAGGCGGCCAGGUAGGUCUGCCGUGAAAACUCGAGGCUUAACCUCGAGCUGUCGGCGGAAACCAUCUGGCUAGAGUCCGGAAGAGGAGAAUGGAAUUCCCGGUGUAGCGGCGAAAUGCGCAGAUAUCGGGAAGAACACCCGUGGCGAAGCGUCUCUGGGACGGUACUGACGCUGAGACGCGAAAGCGUGGGAGCGACAGGAUAGAUACCCUGGUAGUCCACGCCGUAACGAUGAGUGCUAGUGUGGGGGGUGUC
rnacentral:rRNA from 1 species